GGCCUUGUAGCUCAGAAGGUCUCAGAGCGUCGUUCUAGAAAUGCGAAGGUCGCGGGUUCGAUUCCCAGCCAUGGUCA